GACGAACGCUGGCGGCGUGCUUAACACAUGCAAGUCGUACGGUAAGGCCCUUUCGGGGGUCCACGAGUGGCGAACGGGUGAGUAACACGUGAGUAACCUGCCCACAACUUUGGGAUAACGCUAGGAAACUGGUGCUAAUACUGGAUAUGUGCUCCUGCUGCAUGGUGGGGGUUGGAAAGCUCCGGCGGUUGUGGAUGGACUCGCGGCCUAUCAGCUUGUUGGUGGGGUAGUGGCCUACCAAGGCGGCGACGGGUAGCCGGCCUGAUAGGGUGACCGGCCACGUUAGGACUGAGGUAAGGCGCAGACUCCUACGGGAGGCAGCAGUGAGGAAUAUUGCAGAAUGGGCGCAAGCCUGUUGCAGCAACGCCGCGGGCGGGAUGACGGCCUUCGGGUUGUAAACCGCUUUCGGCAGGGACGAAGCUUUUUGUGACGGUACCUGCAGAAGAAGCACCGGCUAACUACGUG
rnacentral:rRNA from 1 species